GUCCACGCUGUAAACGAUGGGUACUAGGUUUGGUAGGUCUUGACCCCUGCCGAACCGGAGCUAACGCAAUAAGUACCCCGCCUGGGAAGUACGGUCGCAAGACUAAAACUCAAAGGAAUUGACGGGGGCCCGCACAAGCGGUGGAUCAUGUGGUUUAAUUCGAAGCAACGCGAAGAACCUUACCUGGAUUUGACAUCCUCUGACAACCGUAGAGAUACGGCUUCUGUAGCAAUACAGCAGAGAGACAGGUGCUGCAUGGCUGUCGU
rnacentral:rRNA from 1 species